AUGGCUAUUACACGGUCGAUACUGCACUGCAGGGUGCACGUGCCAGGUGCCACAGUAACCCAUGUGCGCUCUCACGUUUGCCUAGCUUUGUGCUCUACUACCAUGGUAACUGCUACUGCAAAUCGUAUCAACUGCAGCAAGCCUCCAAUGCGGUCAUAUAAUCUCUGCACCUAUCAUAUAUUGAUCCAUAAUGUCUCAUCAAGAAAAACUUACUUUUUCCAUGUCUAUCUUUCAACACUUCUGUUUAUCAGAUUAUAUGGGGGAGAAGAUGAGAGCCAACUAGGUGGUCUGCAUCGCAUGAAGUUUCACCCGACAGUAAGAGUGUGUUAA
rnacentral:rRNA from 1 species